rnacentral:rRNA from 1 species
AUGUCGACUGGGCCGGUUGCCCUGACACCAGGCGCUCCACCUCCGACUUCUGCGUCUACCUCGGCGACGCCCUCGUCUCUUGGUCUUCGAAGCGUCAGGCAAUCGUCUCACGCUCCAGUGCCGAGGCCGAGUACCGUGGCAUCGCGAACGCCGUCGCCGAGUGUGUUUGGUGAGCUGUUCUCUCCCAUCGACAAGGCCACGCUGGUGUAUUGCGAUAACGUCUCCGCCGUCUACCUGUCUGCCAACCCCAUACAUCAUCGCCGGACGAAGCACGUCGAGCUGGAUAUUCUCUUCGUUCGCGAGCGUGUGGCGCUUGGCGAAUUAUGGGUCCUUCACAUCCCCACACGGCAGCAGCUCGCGGAUAUCAUGAUGAAAGGGCUGCCGUCCGAGGUCUUCUCCAACUUCCGGUCCAGUCUUUUCGUCGCCGCCACCGACGUCACGACUGCGUGGGGGGUGUUAGCCAGGGUAGUUAUGGAGUCUGUAUUCUUGUAUUGUAUACGGCUUAGGUAG